rnacentral:rRNA from 1 species
CCUACGGGCGGCUGCAGUGGGGAAUAUUGCACAAUGGGCGCAAGCCUGAUGCAGCCAUGCCGCGUGUGUGAAGAAGGCCUUCGGGUUGUAAAGCACUUUCAGCGGGGAGGAAGUCGGUGAGGUUAAUAACCUCAUCGAUUGACGUUACCCGCAGAAGAAGCACCGGCUAACUCCGUGCCAGCAGCCGCGGUAAUACGGAGGGUGCAAGCGUUAAUCGGAAUUACUGGGCGUAAAGCGCACGCAGGCGGUCUGUCAAGUCGGAUGUGAAAUCCCCGGGCUCAACCUGGGAACUGCAUUCGAAACUGGCAGGCUAGAGUCUUGUAGAGGGGGGUAGAAUUCCAGGUGUAGCGGUGAAAUGCGUAGAGAUCUGGAGGAAUACCGGUGGCGAAGGCGGCCCCCUGGACAAAGACUGACGCUCAGGUGCGAAAGCGUGGGGAGCAAACAGGAUUAGAUACCCUUGUAGUC